UAGUGAUUAACGCGAAGAACCUUACCUGGGCUCGAAGCGCAGUGGACCGGGGUAGAAAUAUCCCUUCCCCUUAAAAGGCUGCUGCGGAGGUGCUGCAUGGCUGUCGUCAGCUCGUGUCGUGAGAUGUUGGGUUAAGUCCCGCAACGAGCGCAACCCUUAUCCCUAGUUGCCAUCGGGUCAAGCCGGGCACUCUAGUGAAACUGCCUCGGAUAGCGAGGAGGAAGGUGGGGAUGACGUCAAGUCCUCAUGGCCUUUAUGUCCAGGGCUACGCACGUGCUACAAUGGUCGGUACAAACCGUCGCAAACCCGUGAGGGGGAGCUAAUCGGAAAAAGCCGGCCUCAGUUCGGAUUGGAGUCUGCAACCCGACUCCAUGAAGCUGGAAUCGCUAGUAAUCGCAGAUCAGAACGCUGCGGUGAAUACGUUCCCGGGCCUUGUCACACCCGAAUCGAAUUCC
rnacentral:rRNA from 1 species